rnacentral:rRNA from 1 species
AUGACUGGCGGCGGCCUACACAUGCAAGUCGAGCGGAUGAAAGGAGCUUGCUCCUGGAUUCAGCGGCGGACGGGUGAGUAAUGCCUAGGAAUCUGCCUGGUAGUGGGGGACAACGUUUCGAAAGGAACGCUAAUACCGCAUACGUCCUACGGGAGAAAGCAGGGGACCUUCGGGCCUUGCGCUAUCAGAUGAGCCUAGGUCGGAUUAGCUAGUUGGUGAGGUAAUGGCUCACCAAGGCGACGAUCCGUAACUGGUCUGAGAGGAUGAUCAGUCACACUGGAACUGAGACACGGUCCAGACUCCUACGGGAGGCAGCAGUGGGGAAUAUUGGACAAUGGGCGAAAGCCUGAUCCAGCCAUGCCGCGUGUGUGAAGAAGGUCUUCGGAUUGUAAAGCACUUUAAGUUGGGAGGAAGGGCAGUUACCUAAUACGUAUCUGUUUUGACGUUGCCGACAGAAUAAGCACCGGCUAACUCUGUGCCAGCAGCCGCGGUAAU